AUUGAACGCUGGCGGCAGGCCUAACACAUGCAAGUCGAGCGGUAACACAGGGAGCUUGCUCCCGGGUGACGAGCGGCGGACGGGUGAGUAAUGUCUGGGAAACUGCCUGAUGGAGGGGGAUAACUACUGGAAACGGUAGCUAAUACCGCAUAACGUCGCAAGACCAAAGAGGGGGACCUUCGGGCCUCUUGCCAUCAGAUGUGCCCAGAUGGGAUUAGCUAGUAGGUGGGGUAAUGGCUCACCUAGGCGACGAUCCCUAGCUGGUCUGAGAGGAUGACCAGCCACACUGGAACUGAGACACGGUCCAGACUCCUACGGGAGGCAGCAGUGGGGAAUAUUGCACAAUGGGCGCAAGCCUGAUGCAGCCAUGCCGCGUGCAUGAAGAAGGCCUUCGGGUUGUAAAGUACUUUCAGCGGGGAGGAAGGUGCUGAGGUUAAUAACCUCAGCAAUUGACGUUACCCGCAGAAGAAGCACCGGCUAACUCCGUGCCAGCCGCCGCGGUAAUAC
rnacentral:rRNA from 1 species